rfam:Fusibacter sp. 3D3 DNA, contig: 58.
CCGUGCUAGAUGGGGAGGUAGCGGUGCCUUGUAACUUGCAAUCCGCUGUAGCAAGAUUGAAGUCCAUCUAAGGGAUACCAUUGUUGAGUCUGCCCAUGAAAAGUGGUGUUGAUAAUUGGGUCCUGCGCAAUAGACACUUAUGAACUCCGUCAGAUCUGGAAGGAAGCAGCGGUAAGUGAGAAAGUUUAUGUGCCGCAGGGGUUCCUGGUUUGAGCUAACUGUUGUGGUAACGUCCGUAGUAGUAUUUCGAAGUUGGAUGCACGG